CGAAGGGCUAGCGUUGUUCGGAUUUACUGGGCGUAAAGCGCACGUAGGCGGUUUGUUAAGUGAGAGGUGAAAUCCCAGAGCUCAACUCUGGAACUGCCUUUCAUACUGGCAAGCUAGAGUCCGGAAGAGGUAAGUGGAACUCCUAGUGUAGAGGUGGAAUUCGUAGAUAUUAGGAAGAACACCAGUGGCGAAGGCGGCUUACUGGUCCGGAACUGACGCUGAGGUGCGAAAGCGUGGGGAGCAAACAGGAUU
rnacentral:rRNA from 1 species